UACUGUUGUUGAAAAAAAAAUCCCAAAUUUAUUUUCAUUUUUUUUUCAUUUUCAAAUUAUGUCCAUAUUCGGCCAUACGGGCAAACGGCCAAAAGUGAUGUUCUUUUUAAGAGGACAGGUUGCUGUGGCAACAUGCCUCUCUCUUCAAUUCAUGUACACAGGUUGAGGGUUGGGCAUGGGUAUCAUGAAAUGCACCCAGCUACCAUGUCCAGUCUGUGCCAGUAGUGUUUAUAGCUUUGUGGAGACAGGUACCGCUGCUGCUUCUGAGCCUGCUUCUUCCUAUAUAAUGUGGCUUUCCUGAGUGCUUAGCUGUACUGUUAGUUGUGGUUGAGCACUCUAUCUGUUUCUGGCAUUUUACCUGCUGAGUUUGGGAUUCUUUCCAUCCCGGACCCAAUGAUGUUUGUCAUUGCUGGACUUUGGUUCAUGAUGAUUUCCACUGUAGGCUAUAUAUUUAUAUUCAGCAUUUGUCUUUUGUGAGUGGUUCAAAAGUGAGCAGUGAAGGCUUAAUUUUGCAAUAAAUAGAUUUAGAAUUUUUAUAUUUUUAUCUUGCUGUACUAAGUGCAUAGUAUAUGCAGAUAAGGCCUAAUGGCUUUAACCCUUAAACUGCUUCCGUCACUCUCAAGCAAUAAGGGAUGGUUCACCAAUUGCCAAUAGGAGCAUGGAUGUGCCCUGAAAUAUUUAAUAGUACUAAAGAUUCUAUGUGCACGUUAUUUGACACUAGAGAUUUCUGGCAAUCAUUUGCCAUACAGUAUUGACAACAAAAUUUUGAAAGCUAUAGUUUACUUGCUGGUCCUUGGUGAAAGGCUGGGCACCAUGUUAGGUGCAUUACCAUCCACUGACUCACCCAGGCUAGGAACCUUUGAGGCACACAAAGUUUCAAGGACAUUUAUGGUCCUGGAAGAUAGUAGUGAUGAGAAAUCCUUUACAACAUAGUUAAACUUGAAAAUUAUUUAUCUGAAUAUGGUGUCAACAACAUUUCUUCACCUCAUUGUGCCCAAACUAAAAUUAUUAGAAUUUAUUAUAUUUUCCUGACAAUGGAAAGUAAUGUUUUAUGAUAUAAAAACCAAUUACACCUUUGAUUGCAAUCUUGAGGUGAGGAGUUAUAAUAACUAAUGGUUGGACCUAGGCAAUGUGCACAUAGUUUGAAUCAAUGUUUCAAAUGUCCAAGCAGCGGCAUGUUUUGAUGCACUCUACCUUUCUGGUCAUUUCUGGGGGGGAUUCACUUGUGACUCCCUGAAGCUACCAUACUGAUAUAGUGCCAGACUACAAGGUGCCAUCAGUUGUGGAGUUCUUAUCUGGCCUUCCGGAGCCCAUGAGCCAGAACCUUGCCCCCGUUCAGGUUUCAUUGCAUUCAGCUCAUGUGUUUUUUUCUUUGGUACUAUGUUGAUCUCCCAGACUUCUCUAUGCCUCUAUUAAGGGGACUAGAUUCCAGUCCUGGUUUCUGGUAGGCAUAUAUGCUUUGUUACCUAAGGUUUGGAGGAUUCUGGGUUACCAAUACCUAAGGUUUGGAGGAUUCUGGGUUACCAAUACCUAAGGUUUGGAGGAUUCUGGGUUACCAAUACCUAAGGUUUGGAGGAUUCUGAGUUACCAAUACCUAAGGUUUGGAGGAUUCUGGGUUACCAAUACCUAAGGUUUGGAGAAUUCUGGGUGGAUAGUUUGGGAAGAUACCAUGGAAUGAACCACAAAGAAGCAUUUCAUUACAGUCAGCACUGGAUUCUUGCCUAAGGAAGCAACCAAGUGGAUUAUGCUGAGAAAUAAGACUGUAGAUAAAGAGCUCCUUUCUGAGGAAUUUAUUUAGUAGGUGCCAUUUUAUCCCAGCUUACCCAAUGCUUCUGGUAUUUGAGUCAGGAUAAGAGUGAGGUGGCAGUUUCUGGGCUCUUCUGUUUAUAGUGUUGGCACUGACACCUGACAGUGAGUUCAACUUGUUGUCAAGACACAUUUAUCAGCCUUUGUGGUUUAUUUGAAGCUAAGUAUGAACUUUCUGGAGGUCAUUCCCAGCUGGAUUGAGUAAGAUUUGCCAGUUUCUCACCUUCCCCUAUUACUACUGCCGGCUUUACUGGCUAGCUGGACAAGGAUUGAAAGGGGUCCUUGACGUGUGAAGCAGAAAAGGUUGAACUGACCUGAUUGAGACUCUACCUAAGGGAGAGAAAGAGUGGCUUACUCAGAAUGUAAAUUUUCAUCUAUAUGCAAAUAUUAUUCUUAUGAAUUGAAUUACAAUUUUCUUGAUUCCUGACUGAUAAACUUGUUCAAAUGUCUCAACCUUUUCAGAAAGUGAGAUUUGUGUGUGCUGUUUAGAUAGAAUGGUUUACUACCAAAUAUAUGCUUAGAUAUGUUUAUUAAGAUAUAUUGUAAAGAUUAGUCAUUACUGUAUAAAUUAUUUUAAGGCAUUCUUUCAUAUAUUAUUUACCACCUACACAGGAAGAACUGUAAGAAAAGUAAAUGUUUAAUAAUAACAAUAUUAGUCACUAUAUUACAUGGAACAGUAAUGGAUUAUUGCAAGACUAAUGCUGAUUUGUUUUAUGACCAUGUUGAUGUCUUUGGUCCAAAGACGGAACCACAGGAAUAUUUAGUUCCUGCUUCACAUUGUACCACACUUGAGACCACAAUGGUUCUUUUUUUUUUAUAGUUGCUAUCUCUUGGUUAGGCCUAAUAUAUAUUUUAUUUACACAAGCUAGACUUAAAAAGUUUGAACUACCAUAUGUCUUCACUGACCCAACAUUUUUUGCAAUGUUGAUAUAGUUUGUAUAUAGGCAUACUACUUGUACAUUCCUGUUUUAUUCAGUAUAAGCAUUUCUCAAUUCACGCAUAUAACAGUGAAAUAAUCUGACAUUUAUUUUCAAUAGAGUACAGUAUACUGUAUUGAAAAUGUGAAAUAAACUUUUUGUAAGUGUGAGUUAAAUGUUUUUAAAUCUAUUACUACAACUAUGUAUAAAGCAAUGCGUUAAAUUUGCACCAGUAUUAUCUUAUAAGUAUAAGCUGACAAUAGUAUGCCUUCUGUAAUUAUUUCAUAUAAUUUUUCAAUGACUAUAGUGUAUUUUGAUUUAUAAACAAUGGAAACUAUGGUGGACAGCACAAGUCUAUCCUGUGGACCAAAUUGGUUGGACCAUAUACAAAAUUGGUUGGAUCAUGAAUGAAAUUAGGUGGAUAAUGGACAAAAUUGGUUAGAUUAUAAAUAAAACUUGAAUUAUGGGCAAAA
rnacentral:lncRNA from 1 species